CAGCAGCCGCGGUAAUACGUAGGUGGCGAGCGUUGUCCGGAAUUAUUGGGCGUAAAGGGAGCGCAGGCGGACAUAUAAGUCCAUCUUAAAAGUGCGGGGCUCAACCCCGUGAGGGGAUGGAAACUGUAUGCCUUGAGUGCAGGAGAGGAAAGCGGAAUUCCCAGUGUAGCGGUGAAAUGCGUAGAUAUUGGGAGGAACACCAGUGGCGAAGGCGGCUUUCUGGACUGUAACUGACGCUGAGGCUCGAAAGCCAGGGGAGCGAACGGGAUUAGAUACCCGCGUAGUCCCUGUCUCUUAUACA
rnacentral:rRNA from 1 species